ensembl:lncRNA
UAGUUAUUGUAUUUUACAUCAGUUUAGUGUUUAAUGUAUAUAGUAUAUAAAUGUAUAUAAACACACACACAUACUUGCAUUUGUGGUUUACGGGGAUUCUCCAUAUGCGUAAUAGUUGUUAUACUGUACAAACUGUAAUUUCUAUCACCCUACACCUAAACCUACCCCUUACAGAAAACUACUGGCUAUUUUUUAUUCCAUAAAACACUGUUUUGUAUGUUUUUUAAGCCUUUUGUUUUAUGGGGACACAUGAAUUGUCCUCAUAAACCACAUUUGCGUUGUAGUACCCAUGUCAUUAUACACGUGUGUCCUCGUAAACCACAUAUACCAGUACACACACACACACACACCCGCAACCUGAUCAUAUAUGUUUUGUAGUUUCAAAUAUGUUUUUAUAUAUAUAUAUAUAUAUAUUUUUUUAAAGGAAAUGUUUCUGAGAAUUAAGGAGGAAAAGGAUCGGAAACGUCCAGUGAUUAACUUUGCUCGAUGUAAGGCCACCCUGGAAGAUUUUGAAACAUUGUGUCCACAAAAGAAAAGUUUUCCAUGGCUAAAUGACGUUAGUAUCUAUAUUUUAACUACUUUUAUCUGCUAAAGACAUAAUGAAAUCACUUCAUAACGUUAAUAAUUUAUUUUUUUGCUCUGUUUUUAGAUUCUUGACACCAGAAUUGCACAGCUCUGUCGAGUUUUUGGUGGAACUGCCUUACAAGUGCACACAUUCAUUCUGUGGUGGCAAGAAAGUUGUGGAUGACAGGCUAAUUUCUUUCCUGAAGGACCUUGAUGAGAGUGACAAGGUUCUUCUUACAAGGAUUGUUGGUGGAGAGAGCCCAGAAAAGGGAAAUCACUUCAUUUUGUGGGUAUGUGGUGGUAUACAAGAGAUUUUUGCUCCACACUGGUUAAUACCUUUAGGGUAAAGCCUUUUGUGUUUGCUUCUUUUUUUUUCAGGUCUUGGAUGGUUUGGUCAGGCAGAUUUGAGUAUAUUACUCCCUUGGUCAAUACAAAUCUAUUUCAAAGGAGGACAUGGCCAUACUGAGGGAUUCCAUACAUUGCACUGCCACAAAAUUCUAACAGGUUGUUUCCUAAACACUAUAUAUAUAUAUAUAUAUAUAUAUAUAUAUAUAUAUAUAUAUANAUAUAUAACAUUUUUUAAUAUUUCUUUUUAAAGCAGUGCACUCAGACAUACAUGGGACUUGCAGAAUUGGACUGUUGAAUACCCAGCACAGUGGAUGCAGACAUACUUUAACAACUGUGGGGUUUUGGUUUGUACAGUAAGUUAAAUAAAUAAAUUCAUGUUUGCUAUGAUUUGUGUAUC